rnacentral:rRNA from 1 species
GAAGGUGUGCUGUGAGGCAUGCUGGAGGUAUCAGAAGUGCGAAUGCUGACAUAAGUAACGAUAAAGCGGGUGAAAAGCCCGCUCGCCGGAAGACCAAGGGUUCCUGUCCAACGUUAAUCGGGGCAGGGUGAGUCGACCCCUAAGGCGAGGCCGAAAGGCGUAGUCGAUGGGAAACAGGUUAAUAUUCCUGUACUUGGUGUUACUGCGAAGGGGGGACGGAGAAGGCUAUGUUGGCCGGGCGACGGUUGUCCCGGUUUAAGCGUGUAGGCUGGUUUUCCAGGCAAAUCCGGAAAAUCAAGGCUGAGGCGUGAUGACGAGGCACUACGGUGCUGAAGCAACAAAUGCCCUGCUUCCAGGAAAAGCCUCUAAGCAUCAGGUAACAUCAAAUCGUACCCCAAACCGACACAGGUGGUCAGGUAGAGAAUACCAAGGCGCUUGAGAGAACUCGGGUGAAGGAACUAGGCAAAAUGGUGCCGUAACUUCGGGAGAAGGCACGCUGAUAUGUAGGUGAAGUCCCUCGCGGAUGGAGCUGAAAUCAGUCGAAGAUACCAGCUGGCUGCAACUGUUUAUUAAAAACACAGCACUGUGCAAACACGAAAGUGGACGUAUACGGUGUGACGCCUGCCCGGUGCCGGAAGGUUAAUUGAUGGGGUUAGCGCAAGCGAAGCUCUUGAUCGAAGCCCCGGUAAACGGCGGCCGUAACUAUAACGGUCCUAAGGUAGCGAAAUUCCUUGUCGGGUAAGUUCCGACCUGCACGAAUGGCGUAAUGAUGGCCAGGCUGUCUCCACCCGAGACUCAGUGAAAUUGAACUCGCUGUGAAGAUGCAGUGUACCCGCGGCAAGACGGAAAGACCCCGUGAACCUUUACUAUAGCUUGACACUGAACAUUGAGCCUUGAUGUGUAGGAUAGGUGGGAGGCUUAGAAGUGUGGACGCCAGUCUGCAUGGAGCCGACCUUGAAAUACCACCCUUUAAUGUUUGAUGUUCUAACGUUGACCCGUAAUCCGGGUUGCGGACAGUGUCUGGUGGGUAGUUUGACUGGGGCGGUCUCCUCCUAAAGAGUAACGGAGGAGCACGAAGGUUGGCUAAUCCUGGUCGGACAUCAGGAGGUUAGUGCAAUGGCAUAAGCCAGCUUGACUGCGAGCGUGACGGCGCGAGCAGGUGCGAAAGCAGGUCAUAGUGAUCCGGUGGUUCUGAAUGGAAGGGCCAUCGCUCAACGGAUAAAAGGUACUCCGGGGAUAACAGGCUGAUACCGCCCAAGAGUUCAUAUCGACGGCGGUGUUUGGCACCUCGAUGUCGGCUCAUCACAUCCUGGGGCUGAAGUAGGUCCCAAGGGUAUGGCUGUUCGCCAUUUAAAGUGGUACGCGAGCUGGGUUUAGAACGUCGUGAGACAGUUCGGUCCCUAUCUGCCGUGGGCGCUGGAGAACUGAGGGGGGCUGCUCCUAGUACGAGAGGACCGGAGUGGACGCAUCACUGGUGUUCGGGUUGUCAUGCCAAUGGCACUGCCCGGUAGCUAAAUGCGGAAGAGAUAAGUGCUGAAAGCAUCUAAGCACGAAACUUGCCCCGAGAUGAGUUCUCCCUGACUCCUUGAGAGUCCUGAAGGAACGUUGAAGACGACGACGUUGAUAGGCCGGGUGUGUAAGCGCAGCGAUGCGUUGAGCUAACCGGUACUAAUGAACCGUGAGGCUUAACCUU